rnacentral:snoRNA from 1 species
UGAAUAAAUCAAUCCUUUCUUGCAACCCAGAAUCCAUUGUUCAGCAUGAAUUUGGAUACAUAUAAAGAAAGAAUAUG